UUAAGUGAAUAAGGGCGCACGGUGGAUGCCUUGGCACUAGGAGCCGAUGAAGGACGGGACUAACACCGAUAUGCUUUGGGGAGCUGUACGUAAGCUAUGAUCCAGAGAUUUCCGAAUGGGGGAACCCAGCAUCUUUAAUAGGAUGUUACGAUUGUGUGAAUACAUAGCACAUUCGAGGUAGACGCAGAGAACUGAAACAUCUAAGUACCUGCAGGAAGAGAAAGAAAAUUCGAUUCCCUGAGUAGCGGCGAGCGAAACGGGAAAAGCCCAAACCAACAAGCUUGCUUGUUGGGGUUGUAGGACUCCAAUAUGGUCGUUCUUUCAGAUAGUCGAAUGACUUGGAAAAGUCAGUCAAAGAGGGUAAAAACCCCGUAGACGAAAUGUGGAAGACACCUAGGAGGAUCCUGAGUACGGCGGAACACGAGAAAUUCCGUCGGAAUCCGGGAGGACCAUCUCCCAAGGCUAAAUACUCCCUAGUGACCGAUAGUGAACCAGUACCGUGAGGGAAAGGUGAAAAGCACCCCGGAAGGGGAGUGAAAUAGAACCUGAAACCGUGUGCCUACAACAAGUCAAAGCCCGUUAAUGGGUGAUGGCGUGCCUUUUGUAGAAUGAACCGGCGAGUUACGAUUGCAUGCGAGGUUAAGUUGAAGAGACGGAGCCGCAGCGAAAGCGAGUCUGAAUAGGGCGUUUGAGUAUGUAGUCGUAGACCCGAAACCAUGUGAUCUACCCAUGUCCAGGUUGAAGGUGCGGUAAAACGCACUGGAGGACCGAACCCACGUACGUUGAAAAGUGCGGGGAUGAGGUGUGGGUAGCGGAGAAAUUCCAAACGAACUUGGAGAUAGCUGGUUCUCUCCGAAAUAGCUUUAGGGCUAGCCUCGGAAUUGAGAAUGAUGGAGGUAGAGCACUGUUUGGACUAGGGGCCCAUCUCGGGUUACCGAAUUCAGAUAAACUCCGAAUGCCAUUCAUUCAUAUCCGGGAGUCAGACUGUGAGUGAUAAGAUCCAUAGUCGAAAGGGAAACAGCCCAGACCACCAGCUAAGGUCCCAAAAUAUAUGUUAAGUGGAAAAGGAUGUGGGGUUGCACAGACAACUAGGAUGUUGGCUUAGAAGCAGCCACCAUUUAAAGAGUGCGUAAUAGCUCACUAGUCGAGUGACCCUGCGCCGAAAAUGUACCGGGGCUAAACAUAUUACCGAAGCUGUGGAGUACACCUUUAGGUGUAUUGGUAGGAGAGCGUUCUAAGGGCGUCGAAGGCAGAUCGUGAGGACUGCUGGAGCGCUUAGAAGUGAGAAUGCCGGUAUGAGUAGCGAAAGACAGGUGAGAAUCCUGUCCACCGAAUGACUAAGGUUUCCUGGGGAAGGCUCGUCCGCCCAGGGUUAGUCGGGACCUAAGCCGAGGCCGAUAGGCGUAGGCGAUGGAUAACAGGUUGAUAUUCCUGUACCCGUUGUUUUUGUUUGAGCAAUGGAGGGACGCAGGAGGCUAAGGAAUGCAGACGAUCGGAAAUGUCUGUCCAAGCAGUAAGUCUGAAGAGGAGUCAAAUGCUUCUUUUCUUAAGGACAAGCUGUGAUGGGGAGGGAAAUAAUAGUACCGAAGUUCCUGAUGUCACACUGCCGAGAAAAGCUUCUAGUGAGAAAACAGCGGCCCGUACCGCAAACCGACACAGGUAGUCGAGGAGAGAAUCCUAAGGUGAGCGAGAGAACUCUCGUUAAGGAACUCGGCAAAAUGACCCCGUAACUUCGGGAGAAGGGGUGCUGAUCAUACGAUCAGCCGCAGUGAAUAGGCCCAAGCGACUGUUUAUCAAAAACACAGGUCUCUGCAAAAUCGUAAGAUGAAGUAUAGGGGCUGACGCCUGCCCGGUGCUGGAAGGUUAAGAGGAGUGCUUAGCGCAAGCGAAGGUACGAAUUGAAGCCCCAGUAAACGGCGGCCGUAACUAUAACGGUCCUAAGGUAGCGAAAUUCCUUGUCGGGU
rnacentral:rRNA from 1 species